GUUAGGAAUAUUGGACAAUGGGCGCAAGCCUGAUCCAGCCAUGCCGCGUGAGUGAUGAAGGCCUUCGGGUUGUAAAGCUCUUUAGCCGAUGAUUAUAAUGACUGUAGUCGGAAAAUAAGCCCCGGCUAACUUCGUGCCAGCAGCCGCGGUAAUACGAAGGGGGCGAGCGUUAUUCGGAAUCACUGGGCGUAAAGCGUGCGUAGGCGGCUUUGCAAGUUGGGAGUGAAAGCCCAGGGCUCAACCCUGGAAUUUCUCUCAAAACUGCAAGGCUCGAAUUCGGGAGAGGAGAGCGGAAUUGUCAGUGUAGCAGUGAAAUGCGUAGAUAUUGACAGGAACACCAGUGGCGUAAGCGGCUAUCUGGACCGAUAUUGACGCUGAGGCACGAAAGCGUGGGGAUCAAACAGGAUUAGAAACCCCGGUAGUCC
rnacentral:rRNA from 1 species